AGGAGAACAUCAGAAAGAAAAUGUCGUGUUUACCUGGGCAACUUUGGCCUUAUACAAGAAGUCAGGUAUAUACCUGGAAACAGAAACCAGCCAUCAGACCCCUCAAUAAUUGUCUUUAAAACCUACAACAAGACAUUUGCACCUGCCAAAAGUUUGCACUCUGUCUCUAGGGCUCUUG